ensembl:lncRNA
UAUUAAUAAGUGUGUGUGUGUGUGUGUGUGUGUGUGUGUGUGUGUGUGUUUUGCUUUACUGUGAAACUUACCCUAUUUGGAAAAGCGAUUCACAAAUUAAGUUUUUUGUUUGUUUGUUUGUUUUUUCCUUAAGGGUUGUGGUGUUUGGUUAAUUGCAAUUAACCAGACACCACAACCCUUAAGAAAAAAACAAAAGCGUGUCUGUGGUAUUGAAGUAUUUAUCUGGUUUAGUGAACUAGCUAAGUGUGUGUGUUCAUUACUGUAAUGUGUCACUGCUGUCAGUCUGUACAAACGCAUCAUUUGCUGCACCUGCAGCACGUUGUGUGUGUGUGUGUGUGUGUGUGUGUGUGUGUGUGUGCGCGUCUCGAGAGCAUCAGUCCAGCUGAUUAACACACCGCCAAUCAAUUCUCCUGCAGCGUCUGCGCAGACGGACAGGGGUCGGGUUCAGCCGUCCAAUCAGAGCACGGCUGCCGCACGACAUCAUAUCUCAAGGUGCCGUCGGUUCAUUUUUCAUGGGACGAUGCUGCGGUCGUCAUGGCGACAGCACUGAUGCUGAGGGUCUGCGAUGACGGAUGCUCUGCUGCUUAGUGCGGCGGGGGCUCAGGGCACACAUGGAGAACAGGCUUUAUGACUGGCAGAUGUCGCUCGCAGCUUUAAAGCCGUCCGUAAUCCUAUUUGCCCACUGAAAGGACCUUUAACGACCUGAGUGCGUCUGUGAAAUAGUAAAAGUCACUGAGGCGACAGCUUGGCGUUUUAAAACCUGCCACUACAGAGACUUUGGCGAAAGGUUAAGGAGAACUGGAUCUCUCAAACUGUCAACUGGCUUUAUAUUUAUACAUCAGCAGCAUCCUUAACAAAACUGAUCAAAUGAUGAAUAUUUGAAUAGCUAUAUUUUGUGUUAUAUAUUCAGUUCAGAUCAUUAGUUUACAUACACCUUGUAGAAAGUGUAUUUCUUCGUUUUAAAUGGUGUUUUUUAUUUUUAUUUUUUUAAGACAGUAAUAAUAAUGCAUAUGUAAACUUUUGAACUUCAUGUAAAUUCAGUUUUUAUUUUCUUUUGUCUGAUACAGCUAUGAACUAUACAACGAUAGACAGACG